rnacentral:lncRNA from 1 species
AUGCAAUGAACCCCAGGGAUAAGUUGCAGCCCCAGGCAUGAAUGCCAUAGACUUCUUCUGGUCCUUGUCAAAGCCACCCUCUCCCAGUGCCCCUGAGGAACUGUGUGUGCCCGGGGGAGGCUGGCAGCAGUAGGCACCAUAUGGCUGCCAUGGAGGCGGUCUUUUUGGGAGAAGGGGAAUCUUGGAGCCAGUCUAUGGGCUGGAUGGAACUCCCAGCCCUGCAGAGGAAGCUCUUGUCUGGCACUUGCCUGUCCCUGUCUCAGUGGUCAUGGCUCCUGCAAAGAGACCCCAUGUGGCCAAGAGGACAGUCUAUCGCCCAGCCUUGGGGACUCAGUCUUCCGCUGGCAGCUGUGAGUUCAUGGCUGUGGUGGCCACAUUGGAUCCAGGAGACGCUGCUUCGCCGGUCUUCAUCCAGUUCUUACAUUCUCGCCUCUUCUGUGCUGUUCCCGGAGCCUUAGAGUCACAUAGAUGUCUAAUUUAGGGCUGAGAGCUCACCAGUCACUUGCUCCCCACACUUGGAUCAGCUGUGAGUGUCGCCCCGACUGCCAGUUACCAGGAGCAGUGUGUUCUUUUAAGCAGCUUUAAAUAAUUUCCUUUUGACUUGCAGAUAUGAUUAGUACCCUUCACAAACCCUUCCUUUGAGAGAGGGGAGGUGUACGGCCAGAGUUUACUUGCCUGAAUUAUUUCUUAUUCUGAAAGAGUAGGUUCCAAAUCAACGCUACUGACUGCUCUAUUCAGUCAGCUCAAGGACGGCCAGUAGGUGAACAAAAAUCAAUGGAGAGCGAGUCUCAGAAGUGUCAGAGAAGGGCAAACGUAUUUGACAAAAAAAAAAAAAAAAA